ensembl:lncRNA CHROMR cholesterol induced regulator of metabolism RNA
GAGGCAGCAGCAAUUUUAUCUUCUGGGCACCUUAUCCUCAGACCUCAUUUUAUCAAUACAUACGGACUGUCUACAACCACGUAAUAUCCUUUUCAUCAGCCUUAUGAAAUUUUCCCCCAAUUUAUCCAAGUCAGGAUUUCAGUAUGCAGAAGUCUAAUGUCAUCUUGGAGAGUUCAUUGUGCCUCCCCCAUAUCCAAGACCAUUUACUAAAACCUUAGUUCAGUCUUUAAAGAGUCACAAGAUCCUAUUAUGCCUAGUUUUUUUUCCAGUCUUUUAAGUCUAUUCCUUACCUUGCCAAAAAAGUACCUGUUUCUAUGGUUUAACAAAUGGAGCUUAGAAUAUGGAACUAUGGUAAGUGCUCUUUAGAAUUUAAAAUAAGUUACAUGUACUGGUUUUCCUUUAUUUUGUAGUUUUGUUCUCAAAGAAUUCCAGAUAUGAUUUUUUUCCAGACAAAAAUACCUGCUACAUGCUUCCUUCUGUAUGAAUACAUGAGACCUACCUUCAUUCAUGUUUCCUCUAUGAAGCUUUCCCUGCACUCCAAACACAGAGCUGAGACUUCCACCUAAUGUAGAAAGCUAGCACGAGCCGGCGCUGACAGAUGGAAGACUUGAGAUGUUACAAGAUUAUAUAUGGAAACACAAAAGGAGUGGAGUUGCUGGGUCAUAUGGCAAUUCAUUUGAGGAACUGAGAAGCUUAUUCCAUGGAGGCUGAACUGUUUUAUAUUCCCACCAGCAACGUGUAAGGUUCCAGUUUAUCUACAUCAUCACCAACACUUGCUAUUUUCCAUUUCAUUAAUGAUAGCCAUCCUAGUGGAUUUGAAGUGGUACCUUAUUAUCGUGGUUUUGAUUGCAUUCUCUAUUGACUAAUGAUAUCGAGCAUCUUUUCAUGUAUUUUUUGGUCAUUUGGUCAUUUUUCUUUUUUAAUUUUAAAAUUUUGAGACAGGCUCUCACUAUGUUGCCCAGGUGGUCUCAAACUCCUGGGUUCCAGCGAUGCUCAUGCCUCAGUCUCCCAAAGGGGUGGGAUUACAGGUGUGAGCCACUUUGCCCAGCCCAUUUGUAUAUCUCCUUUGGAGAAUAUCUAGGUUCUUUUGAAGGUAGCUGCAUAUAAACUAGCCAAAUUAACAGACUGUGGUUUUUAGAUGGCUUUCCAUAUCUACAAGAACUAUUUAGUUCUCAAAACUGGGAAGAAAUGUUUCAGAGGCAUCAUUAAUUCAUAAUCUAAAAAUUUAUCUUGGGUUUCCUUUUUUCCCCCAGAUUCUGUAUCCUCCAUAGUCCUAUUCAUGACAUGGGUCGUUCAUCUCUGUAUUCUAAACCCUCAAUGAACUGUAGACAGUAAUAAAUAUUUAUUGGAUGAAUGGUCUCUCAUCAGCCACCUUUUCUUUUUUUUUUUUUGAGACAGAGUCUCACUCUGUCACUCAGGCUGGAGUGCAGUGGCGCGAUCUCGGUUCACUGCAACCUCUGCCUCCCGGGUUCAAGUGAUUCUCCCACCUGAGCCUCCCGAGUAGCUGGGAUUACAGGUGCACGCCACCUUGUCUGGCUAAUUUUUGUAUUUUUAGUAGAGACAGGGUUUCACCGUGUUGGUCAGGCUGGUCUCAAACGCCUGACCUCAGGUGAUCUGCCCGACUUGGCCUCCCAAAGUGCUGGGAUUACAGGUGUGAGCCACCGCACCUGGCCUCCAGCCUCUUUUCUUUUUUUUUUUUGAGACAAGUCUAACUCUGUCACCCAGGCUGGAGAGCAGCGGCAUGAUCAUGGCUCACUGCUGCCUC